GAUGAAAGCUGUGUUGAGAUUGUGACAUAUAUUACAUGAUGUAUAUUUAUAUCACAGACCAAUGCAACCAAACAUCAUGCAUGGGACAAGGGAGAUGCUUGGAGACCAUCAACAAUUUUACCUGUGUGUGUGAACCUGGGUUUGAGGGACACUUUUGCCAAACAGGUGAGGGGGAAUCUGGAAGCUGCUGUUCCCACCGUGUCACACCUCUCCUUUAACCUAUGACCUUUUCUAAUGAGGGUCGCUAUGGCUACAACAUCUGCUUCCUCAAUUUCCUGAGUGGUACUUCAUUUACACAUCAGGCAUUAUGACAGGUCCCUACUGUACCCCACUGUUGUGCUGAAACCUUUCUUUGCCCCUAAAGCUAAGGGAUGUGACCCCUUAUGUCUACCUGAUGGGUUUGUGAACUGCUCUGCUGUCAACUUUACUGUCAACUCUACAUGCCGGUUGAGCUGUGAGAAGGGGAACCUACUGCUGGGAUCCCCAGAAGUCAGCUGUGGCACGGACAGGGUCUGGACUGCAGUCUGGGGCGAUGACAUCUGGAGCAGGAUCUGGGUCUGGAGUGGACAAAGGCCAGUUUGUGCAAGUUAUCAGCAUGUCCUAAUGGCUGUAGCUGCUGGUUGGAUGCUCUCACUGUCCUGCUGCAUCUGCUGUUGUUUCAAUCACAGAAAAAGUAAGUUCCAGUUGUUUAUAAAAAAAAUAAUGUUUUAUAAAAGAUAACAAGUGUUUUUUUUUACCUGCUUUUUCUCCCCAAUUGUUAGUCUUGUCUCAUCGCUACAACUCCCGUACGGGCUCGGGGAGAGACAAAGGUCAAAGGCCAUGCGUCCUCCAAAACACAACCCAACCCAAGCUGUGCUUCUUAACACAGCGUGCAUACCACCCGGAAGCCAGCCGCACCAAUGUGUCAGAGGAAACACCGUGCACCUAGCGACCUGGUCAGCAUGCACUGCACCGCCACAGGGGUUGCUAGUGCACAAUGAGACAAGGAUAUCCCUACAGGCCAAACCCUCCCUAUCUCGGACGACACUAGGCUAACAGUGCGUCGCCCCAUGGACCUCCCGGUCGCGGCCGGCUGCGACAGAGCCUGGGCUCGAACCCAGAGUCUCGGGUUUAUUGAAAUGUGCUUUUAUUUAUUUAACCUUUUAUUUAACUGUUUGGGUACAUUUUCCCAUUAUAAAUCAAUUUAAAAGGUAGCUUAAUGACUAUAUAUAUAUUUAGGAGUAGUAACACCAAUGAUGAUAACACCAACGAUGAUAACACCAAUGAGACAUUUUAGAUAAAUGAGGAUUUUCUGAGAUGGCCAUCAAUUCUUUACUAAAGUGAUAUCAUUAAUCACUUUGCUCACAAUGUUAUUUCCCUUCAUCUAAAUUGACUAACACCUUUGAUUUAGACACACCUAAUUGUUCAUCUUACAUUUGGUUUGUCAUUUAACAGACAUUCACAGUAGUACAAUGCAUAUAUUUUCAUACUGGUUCCUCUCGGGAAUCAAACCCACAACCCUGGUGUUGUAAGCACCCUACUCUACCAACUGUGUCACACAGAAUCAAUGGAAUUUUUUUAAAUUGAUGACAUACUUAAAAGGGUGUGACUAGCUAAUAAGGAUGCUUAAUAUAGACCUCCCUCCCCCCCCCUGAUAACAGUUUGCCACUGGAGAGAAUGCUCAGUGUCCUUGUAUAUCUUUGUAAAUCAGUGAUUUUU
ensembl:lncRNA